rnacentral:rRNA from 1 species
CUACGGAGGGUGCAGGCGUUACUCGGAAUCACUGGGCGUAAAGCGCGCGCAGGCGGCUUGAUAAGUUGGAUGUGAAAGCCUACGGCUCAACCGUAGAACUGCAUCCAAAACUGUCAGGCUCGAGUGUGGGAGAGGAAGAUGGAAUUAGUCGUGUAGGGGUAAAAUCCGUAGAGAUAACUAGGAAUACCAAAAGCGAAGGCAAUCUUCUGGAACACUACUGACGCUGAGGCGCGAAGGCGUGGGGAGCAAACAGGAUUAGAAACCCCAGUAGUCC